rnacentral:lncRNA from 1 species
GGGCAGAAUAAAAAAUUACUAAAAAAAAAUCUUCUCAAAAUUACGGAAAUCGAGCGGCGGCGGCGGCUCCCCCCGCCCGCCGGCCCGCCCGCCCCCUCCCCGGCUCCCCGGCCCCGGGCGCAGCGCGCAUGUGUCCUGCUAUAAUUAUGAUUAUCAAUAAUGCAUUGCGAUUAAUCAUAGAGGGGCUCUUUGAAAGGCGAUUGGCACCGGGCCAGCGCUAUUCAAACCCGCUCGCCUUAAUCAAUUAGUUUGUGAUUUGCUGCAGACCCCUGUCUCUCCGCGCGCUGGCCCAAUAAGCCGGCCGCGGGGCUGGCUCUGCGAGCCGCGCCGCCCGACACUGGGUUAACCCUCUUCGCGACCGCCCGGGACUCCGCGGCCGGGCCGCCGGGGGCCUGCCUUCUCGCCUCUGAGCACCCGGCGCCCCGGCCUGAGCCCCCCUCCCUCCCUCGGCCCCCCCAUCCCGGGCUGGGCCGACCCAAAUUAGCAUGCCCUCCCCGGAAUUAAGCCUCCCCGGGUGGGGGGUGGGGCCGGGCGGCGGGGGCUGGGGACCCGGGCUGCGGGCGCGCGGCGAACUUCCCAACUCCGGCGCUAGGAGCGCCGGCCCGCGGGGGGAGGGAGUCCCGUGGCGGGAUUUGGGGGGAGGAAGUCCCGUUUCGUGAGUGUUUCUUCGUUUCUUUAAGAGCUACCAGAAAGCAGCCCACCCCCACCCCCAUAAAAAAAAAAAUAAGCGAGUGGGGAAGAGCCAGCCCCACGCCGGUCCGCCUCCCGCCCGCGGCCCGGCCUCCCUCCCGCUCGCUGCUUGGCUCGGCGCUCCUUCGCCCCGAGUUCUCCAUCCCCUGGAUCCCGGGCUCGCGGGGGCGCGGAGAAGAGGACCAAGGAAAGGGCCAUCCGCAUGCAGGCAUUUAGAAACUGACUUCUUCGCUGGCGACCGCAAGUGCCUGUGAUUUUUACUUUCCGUCUACAUUGAACGUCUUGUACUGAAAUUCACUGAGCCCUGCAUGCCACAGUGCCUCGCUAAGGGGUCUCUGGGUACAAAAUGCCUCUCCAAGGAAAUGUUUCGAGAUGCGUGGAGAGGUUUGGAAGCUCUAGGAGAAGAAAGAUGUUGGGAACAAAUAACUGCCUGCACCUUCUCUCCUGCCCAGAGGAAAGAGCCAGGAAAUAGGAAGAUUUCCAAGCCAAAGUCUGCAACUCAUCCAUGGGGCUGCAGGAUCAUGCAUAUUGCCGACUGAACUCAGGACCACUGAAGUCUCCCAUGACCCACAAAUGCCUUGAACUAAACAUACUGCAGGGAUGCUGACAUCUAUAAACUUAUGAGUCCGAUGAGGUCUCCACUGAUAUUAAACCUCUUGAAGCCUUCUUUUGCUGUUUGUGUUUUUUAUUGUAAAAUGGGCAAAAUGAUAGUGUCUACCUGUCUUAGUCCUAGUCCAUU